rnacentral:lncRNA from 1 species
UGUUCUACUAGUUAUACUGUGUUCUACUAAGUAUUACUGAGUUAUACUAAGUACUACUGAGUUCUACUAAAUACUACUGAGUUAGUUGUACCGAGAGUAAUACCAAGUUAUACUGAAUCCAGAUCUAGAGAUGAAAAUCAAUUACAAACACGAAGGAACAAGAACAAUAAGAACCCUAAAUCAUAAAAACCAAGAAAUAUAUUUAACAACCCUAAAUCGAAAAACACCAGAACAAUAAAAACCCUAAAACUAAGUAGAUUUUAAGAAUAUCCGAUCUCUUUCUCUGUUUUUGUCACCUUCUUCGUCGCCACAUCAGGCUGAGCCACCGUUGAUCUGUUUCUUUUUCUGGUUUUCAGAUCUAAUAUCAGGUUCAACCACAAGCACUUUAUAACCGUUGUAGCUUCUCUGCCAUCUUUGAUUAUGUAGUUUUAGAUAUAAAACGAAGAAAGAAAGAAGAAAUCUUCACUAUUGGAUUUUACAUCGAAGAAGAAAGGAGAAGAAACAAAAAAAAGGUUGCAGAGAGGAAGAGAAAAGACGUCGUAGAAGAAGAGAGAAAGAAAAAGAAAAAU